rnacentral:rRNA from 1 species
UUGAAAGGGAAACGAUUGAAGUCAGUCGUGCUGGCGCGAAAUCAACCUUCUCGUCUCGAGAUCACAUGGCGUGGCGAGCCUCAAAACCGUCACGAAGCGUGAACUCUUGGUGAAAUGGAGCACUUUCGUGUCCGCUGGUUAACAUCAAUUUCGAACGUCAUAAAAAGGCUGGAGGGAUGUGGCUCCUUCGGGAGUGUUAUAACCUUUAGCGGAAUGUGGUGGUCGGGAUUGAGGAUUGCAACGAAUACCUUUAGGGCUUUCCACCUGGCUUCUCUUUGGUAUCCCGGUCACGACAGCUUGCUGACGUUGUUAGCAUAUGNCUNGUANNNCUCUAGAGUCGACCCNCAGGCANNCANCGUUAAGGAUGUUGACGUA